CGUAGGGUGCAAGCGUUAAUCGGAAUUACUGGGCGUAAAGCGUGCGCAGGCGGUUUGCUAAGACCGAUGUGAAAUCCCCGGGCUCAACCUGGGAACUGCAUUGGUGACUGGCAGGCUAGAGUAUGGCAGAGGGGGUAGAAUUCCACGUGUAGCAGUGAAAUGCGUAGAGAUGUGGAGGAAUACCGAUGGCGAAGGCAGCCCCCUGGGCCAAUACUGACGCUCAUGCACGAAAGCGUGGGAGCAAACAGGAUU
rnacentral:rRNA from 1 species